rnacentral:rRNA from 1 species
CUGCAACUCGCCUACACGAAGUCGGAAUCGCUAGUAAUCGCGGAUCAGCAUGCCGCGGUGAAUACGUUCCCGGGCCUUGUACACACCGCCCGUCACACCAUGGGAGCCGGUAAUACCCGAAGUCAGUAGUCCAACCUCGUGAGGACGCUGCCGAAGGUAGGAUUGGCGACUGGGGUGAAGUCGUAACAAGGUAAC